GAACGAAUACACAAUAGGCAAUACAAAAAAAGCAAUAUUGGAAGGUGAUUUCUCCGAUCGAAAUCUCUGGGCUUUCUCUUUGUGAUUAUUUUCUUUUUUUUUUAUUUCGAGAGUAAAUAAAAGAAAAGGGGAACACGAACACAGACGCACACAGAAUAUACACGCACAGAAAUAUAAAAAAAAACAAUUAAGAAUUUGCAAGGGUAAUCUCAAGUUUUCUUUCGUUCUUUCUUUUUUUUUUCUUUUUUGUUUGGUUUAGAUCGUCUUUUAGUAGGUAAAUCGACUCCAAUGAGAUCCCGAAUACUUUAAGAUACAAAAGUAGGGGAGAGGAGUCAAGUGGUGUUGAAUCUCUAUUUUAUGAACUUUCUUCGUUUUUUUUUAAAAUGUAUGAGAUUUGAAGUUUUAUUUUUUCUCAAGUAAAAAAGAAAAUACUUACUAAUUUCCUCAAGGCAUGGUCGAAUACUUACGGCCACAGAACCAGGAAUUGUUUUGCGCGCUGCUGGACACCAAAUCCGAUGGAGAUUCAGCUGCUUGUAAAAGGAACCCUAGCAAAUUUAUUUUCAAGGCUGCUGGUUUUUGUUAAAAUGGAUGGGUAUUUGAAAGGAAAGGAAGGGAAAAAUGGUUUAAAAUGGUCUGAAAUACAAAACAGUGCUGCCCAUGACCAUAAGGGUCCGCGCGUAGGCCCGAAUAGAAAAAUGGAUCUGCGCCAUGUUGUGUGAAUGGGGAAAUUGCGCGCUGAAUCCUUCCCUUGCGCACAACCUUCAAUUUGCGCCCCAAUUUCCCCCCCAACCAAUAAACGACGCCGUUUCAAGGGUGGGUCGGGUCGACCCGACCCGCCCCAGCAAGGAUCCGCGUGUUUUUAAGAGCGGAAGGGCUAUUUGCGCAAUCAGCCCUUCCGCAUUUUUGGUGUUUUAAAUUAGGUUUAUGUUUGUUUCUGAAUUGACCCCAGAAUUUUGCUCAGUUUUUAAUUUAACCCCCGUAUAUGCGCAGCGUUUUGGAAAGUUUGAAAAUUUGCACUUUUAAUACCCCAUGGUUUUACCCGCAUUCAAAUAGGUCCUUUCCCCUUUAAUUUUUUUAAAUUCGCCCCAAAGCUUUGUUUUUAGUUCAUUUUUGGUCCUUUUUGUUUCCUUAUUUAAUAUGAUUAUUGUUAUUUCCAAUAUUAUAGUAUUAUUAUUAUUACUAUAUAUUAGUAUACAUUUUUCUUUUACAUGUGAAUAUUGUAUAUAUUUAUAUAUAAUAUUAUUUUUAAUUAUUGUAUUUUAAUAUUAUUAUUAUAUUAUAUAUACUUCUUCGUAUUUUAUUAUUAUUAUUAGUAUUAUUAUCUUUAUUCAUAUUAGCAGACAUAUGUUAUUAUAUAUAUACACAUUUCAUAUAGUAUUAUCUUUUUUUUACUAUUAUAUUUAUUAUUAUAUUCAUUGUUAAUACAUCUAUUUUUUAUACAUGUAUAUAUACCCUUUUUGUAAUAUUAUUUUUUACACCUAUAUGUAUAUAUUUUAUUUUAUUGUUGCUAGUUAUGUACUUUUUUACUAUCUUAUACGUACUUCAAACACUAUACGUAUAGUAUAUUUCUAACACUACUACUAUUUAUAUAAAUAUUUUACGUAUAUACUCUUAAUUAUCUUCAUAUGUGUAUUCAUUGUAUUCUUAUUACGUUCUCGUAUUCAAUGCUAACAUUGCAUUUGAUCUUGCAUGCACGGUUAUUAUUUUCUAAUAUUAUUGUCACCUCGAUUAUUUGUUUCAACAUAUUCCUAGCUCUUUCAUUUAUUGAUUUUUAUUUCAUAUUAUUUUACUUUGCAUUAUUUCGAAAAUCGUAUUCUUGUUUUGCUAAUUAAUUUCAAUAAUCAAGGCAAUAUAUCGAUUUAACAUUAAGUCAUCAAGUUCAUCACUAUGUUGGGUGAACGUCAAUUGACUCGUGUUAAAGCGAUAUACCCUUCUAAAAGAAAAAACGGAAUAAACUAAGUUUCUUGUUUUUUAAUCAGAUCACGACUAAAUUUUACAUUGAACCGUAUUUUUGAAAAUUAAGACAACAUGUGUUUAUGAGAUACCAAUUUUUGGGCGUCACGAGGGUGCUAAUACCUUCCUUGCGCGUAACCGACUCCCGAACCCUAAUUUUCCUCUGGCUUUUAACGUAGACCUAAAUUCAGCCUUCCUUUUGUUUUUUUUAAAAAAGAAGUCUAACAGGUGUCCGGUCACACCUAAUAAAAAGGAUCGGUGGUGAUUCCCUCUUUAUUUUGAAAUCGAAUUUCAGUUUCCAAACUUUUUCACUAGAUCGCCACAAUUAGCGACCCCGGAACCAAUUUUUAUGUCGCUACAGCUGGCGACUCCACUGGGGACUUUUGAGAGUUGAGUCUGAUGUUAAACGCGUAUUGUCAAAUUUUUAAAAUCCUUUGUUCAAAUUAAUUUUUAAUCGUGAUCCUUGAAUUUUUUUUUUUGAAAAGUCAUGCAUUUGCAUUUGGUUUUUUUUAAUUAAUAGUUUUCUAACUUAUUUUGUCUUUCUGUUUUUUUUAGCUUUAAGUUUUACAUUUUUUUAGUUGUUUUAGUAAAAAUAAAAUUUAAAAAGGUUUGUGAGUUUCUCCCUACACACCGUGCACUUGCAUUCUUGCAUAACAUGAGCUCUCUACCCGGGCUCCAUCCGUUUAAGUGGAAGUAAACGCUACGCCUUCGUGAGUUAACUCGUCCCUCCGCACAGGCUAGUGAAAUACUUUCGGGUUACAUAUGACUUAUGUUUUCGUGAGUUAACUCGUCCCUCCGCAUAGGCAUAAGUAAAUGUAAUCCCUCGAAUUGAUCUCGUAAGCCUAUGAUGGGCCAUGACCGAGGCUCUGUACUAAUCUUGGUAGAUGACAGUGCAGACGAUUCGAGUACCCAUCUAGAACCAAAACCGCAUAUAGUGAACCAUGUGAGCCAUCCAAAUAGAGCCAUGCUGAACCUCUGUCCGCUUAUAGUCAUCAAAAUAAGUACACGGGGAAAAUACCUUUUGCCAUCCAGUUACACUGUUUGUGCAAAAUAAUUGGAUUGGGUAGUUUAAUUUGUUUUUCAAAUUAUAUUUGUUGUGUUUACUAACCAAGUUUGUUUGUUUUCACUUUUAUUUUCAUCAUGCAUCAUAGGCAUCAUAUUAAGAAGGUGUUGACUAAAGGUUGGUUGCCAAAAAAUGGGUUUCUGAUGGAGGAGUCAAUUACACAAAUAACCGAGAAGAGUGCCGUGGUUCGGGACUGGUCUCUAAAAAUUCAGAAAGAAAAGGGGGAUAGUCUAGUGGAAGGGUGUGUCGCCAAUUUGCCCGAACAUAUAACUGUAAAUGUUCGCCAAAAUAACCUUGAGGAUUUGGUUCGAAUUUGGAAUCAGUACACUAGAGACAUUUUCACUGAGAGGUAUGGAGAUAUAGCUCACCUGAUCACCAUCCGUGUAGACGAACAGUUGAUUCAAGCCAUGGUUCGGUUCUGGGACCCAGCUUAUCAGUGUUUCACCUUCAAUCAAGAAGACAUGACUCCAACCAUAGAAGAGUAUGCUGCUUUACUCCGCAUCGACAAUGUACAAUUCGGCAAAAUAUAUGUGAAGGAGCCUAAGCCGAUGACCUUCAAGAAAAAGUUAGUGAGACUAACAGACAUGACUGAUGCAUGGGCCGAAAAACAGAUAAAGAAGAAGAAUGAAACCAUUUGCAUUCCAUGGUCCUCCCUACGAGAUUUGGCUCUAAACUAUCCCAACAUGCUGAAAAGGGUAAAUCUAUUCGCUUUGGCCUUUUACGGUUUGGUCAUUUUCCCAAAAGUUCUCAGACAUCUCGAAGUUGCAGUAGUUGAUUUCUUCGAAAGGUUAAAACAAGGAAUCAACCCUGUUCCGACCAUCCUAGCCGAGAUCUUCAGGUCCCUGAGUAGUUGUCGAAGAAAAGGGGAGGGACGAUUUAUCGGAUGCGCGCAGUUGCUCAAUGUUUGGAUUUUGAGUCACUUCUGGAAGGUAGAGCGCACUCCGUUCCAUAUGUUUUCUAAAACAUUGUCCCCUCUAGAAGCUUACCUCAAGAAAGAAUGGCCGAAGGAAGUCACCAAGCAACAUUGGGUAUCAGUUUUUCAGAAUCUUCGCGCCGAGAAUAUAACAUAGAGAGCACCCUGGAUCCGUCCUUCAGUUCUGCUAUACAAAUGUGGAAGCCAAGAUUGGGUACCUUUACUCGGGUUAUGGGGAGGAGUUGGAUAUGCCCCGCUAUUAGUCCAAAGGCAGUUUUCUUCGCGACAAUUCCUCCCCGCAACUGGAGGAUUAGCACAGUUCGAGUUCACUUUCGCGGGUGAAGGAUAUAUGAAGAGAGUCCGAGUCACUGCAAAGUAUUGGAAGGAAAUUCAUUUCAUGGAAUUAGCUUUGUAUGCUGAUACCCUUACCCAAGAUUAUGACAUAUGGAGGAAGCAACGGGUAAAUAGUCAGCAAAUCUCAUCAACAAACUACACCAUCCAAAAUCCUUUCUCGGAGGAAACGCCGUCUGAGCUAGAAAUGACAAGACAAGAAUUCGAACGAGAAAAGGCCAAGAUGUCUCGGGACCUUAAUGCCCUUCAAGAAGAAAACUAUCAACUGAAGAUUGAAGUUCAGGUUGAAAGGUCCAGGACUGAAAAAGUACAAAGAGAAGCCGAGAUUGUGAGAAACGACUUAAGGGACCUUCAUUUGGAAAACAAGAAAUUAAGAAACACUAUAAAGAAUAGCGGGUUAGGCAAGUCGAUAGCAGAAUGGAAGGAAGAAAUUAGCAAUAUUAAGGGAGGAAUGGAGUUUUGGAAGGGAAAAGCAAAGAAAGAGGAGGAAAAGGCUGCGCGUGCUAUGAUAGAGUUAAGAAGGAAGAACGCCGAGUAUGAAAUAGUGGCUGCAAAAUUGGCGAAUAGUCAGUCUGAACAUCAAGAAUUAAAAAGGAAAACACGAGAUCUAGAAAAUAUGCUGCAAUCUCGUCAACAACAAUUAGAUAACCUCUUGAAGGCUCUAGAAGAAAAGAGUGAGCAGUACGAUAAGGACAUUCACGCGUAUGAAGGAACCCUCAAAGAAAAAGAAAUGCAACUUGACUUCUUGAUCAAUGAAAUUCGUAAAGCGGCUAUGCAAGUUGUUCAAUUAUCAGAUAAAGCCAAAGUUCUCAGUUGCCAAUUCCCCCCGAGCCAAAGAUCGAGCAUAUCAGAGUUUUUAGAGCAAGUGAAGAAACAAGGCAAUGUGGCUAGGAAAUUUGUGUAACUGUUGGAAAAAUGAGAACUUUGUGUAAUAGACUAUGUUGAUAAAUGAAAUACCUAAAUAUGGGGCUAUCUUGAAAUCAACACCAAUUUCUUGCAUUUCAUUCAUAAUUGACACUCAUUUGACAUUCAUGCAUUCAUUCAUGCAUCAGUUCAUUCAUUGCAUAUCCCAUACUCGUUCGCUGAGGUUAAAACGUACAAUUUGCAGUUGCCAGACUUCAAGACUGGAACCACGUCAUCCGUAUAAAACGCGCCGACAAGCUAGAGUAAUGGAAGCUGAAUUCAAUGAGAGAAUUGAAAGGAUGGAAAAGCUCAAAAGGAAUUACAAGAGCAACUGGCCAAAUCGCAACAAGAGACGAGAGACCUAAUGGUGAUAUCUCGAGAGGAAUCAUUCGAGCAAAGAGAUCAGAUGGCUAAAAUGAUGGAGAUGAUGACAACUUUGGUCAAAGGAAAAUGGCCCAUGCAGAACCCUGAUGUUAUGGAACCUCGGUCAAAAAUUCACCAUGAUCAGGAUCCACUCUAUCCCCCAAGAUUCACUCCACCGCCCGCAUAUACAAUACAAAGAGGGUAUACUCAAGAGGAACCCACUGGCUUGGAGCAUCGACCCAUGCCACCUGCUCCACCCACUAAUUUGGGGCAAGGAAUGUUAGCGUCGAACCCAGGGGCUAGUUUUGCUAAUCCACUAGUUCCAGAUCUAGAUGACCCAGCAGAGGUAGCCAAGUUGAAAUUGGAUAACCAUGACGCAAAAUAUAGGAGUCUAGAGGAAAGACUCAAAGUAAUAGAAGGCACUGAAGUCUUCUCCGCACUAGGUGCCAAGGAACUCAGUUUGGUACCUGAUCUAAUUUUGCCCCCGAAGUUCAAAGUGCCUGAUUUUGAGAAGUAUGAUGGAACAAGGUGCCCAAAAGCACAUCUCAUUAUGUUCUGUCGAAAAAUGACCGGUUAUGUGAAUGAGGAUAAACUACUCAUACAUUGCUUUCAAGAUAGUCUAACAGGGUCAGCUCUUCGGUGGUACAAUAAACUUAGUAGAGAAAAGAUUCGAUCCUGGAAGGACUUGGCGUUAGCAUUUUGCGAACAGUACAAGCAUGUAUCGGAUAUGGUGCCAGACCGUAUGACCUUGCAAAUGAUGGAGAAAAAGCCAUCAGAGACCUUUAGACAGUAUGCGCAGAGAUGGAGAGACGUCUCAGCUCAAGUGGAACCCCCACUAACAAAAACAAAGAUAACCGUUCUUUUUAUCAAUACUUUAAAGGCACCGUUUUAUGACAAACUAGUGGGAAGUGCCACGAAAGAUUUCGCGGAUAUUGUAAUAUCCGGUGAACUCAUAGAGAAUGCCGUCAAGAGCGGUAGAAUGGAAGGAUCAGAAGGCUCAAGAAAAGCAGCACCCUUAAGGAAGAAAGAGCCAGAAGCCCACAUGGUGGGAACUGGGAGUCGUUACAUUCCCAAUUCGUAUCGUAACCAACCCCGACCUCGAAAUUAUCCACCCCCGAAUUCCUAUUAUCCCCUACAAACCCCUUACUACCAAGCACCACAUCCGUCCUGCCCCGUAUACGCCACGAACAACCAAAGACCCGUCACUACUUUCCCACAAAACACGGUACCCGCCCAAAGCCAAUCAAGGCAUAAUCCCGAGAGACCGCAAUUUACCUCCAUCCCUGUGUCGUAUGGGGAAUUGUACCCAAAACUUUUAGAAAAACAGCUAAUUUCUCCCCAUUACAUGGCACCCCUUAAACCUCCAUACCCAAAGUGGUACGAUCCAAACGCUAGUUGUGCAUACCACGCAGGGAAUCAAGGGCACUCUACUGAGAACUGUCUCGCUUUCAAAAGGAGAGUUCAAGGACUCAUUGACGCGGGUAUCCUACGAUUCGAUAGUGCUAGUAACGCCACGGGGAACCUGUUCCCUAACCAUACCAAAAGGAAUGUGAGCACAGUGGGGAAAGAGGAUGAAUGGAAGGUCAGAAGAUGUGUGGCAGAAAUAAGGACGCCUCUGCAGAAAAUCUGGGAGAUAUUGGUUAAGAAAGGAUUGCUCUGUCACUCUGAUAGAGUUUUUGGAGAAGAAGGUCAAAGUUUUUGCAAUUUUCAUGGGAUUGUUGGGCACGACAUUCAGUCAUGCGAGGACUUUAAAAGGUUACUUCAAGACCAGAUGGAUAAUAAGGAGAUCAAGGUCCUUAACAAGAGUCAAGAUGCCAACGAAAGAGAAGUAUGCGUCUCUGAUAGCCAAUCAUCAGGGCCCCCUUAUAGUGCUGAUCGACCGUUGGUAAUUUAUUACGACGCGAUGAGAGAGCCAUUGAAACCACAGAUGGUAAUUGAAGUACCAUCUCCUUUCCCGUAUAAGGACAACAAAAUAGUACCGUGGAAAUAUGAUGUUAAUAUCGUUACACCGGAAGUUGAAAAGUCUAAAGCCAUAACUGAAGAUGUUGGGGAGGUAGGUCAUUUUACUCGAAGUGGACGAUGCUAUUCUAAAGAAGUUGAACCGGUAAAGAAAAGUAGUGACUCGAAGCAAAAAGGGAAAGCAGUGAUGUACGAGGUCGAAGUCGAGCAAGAAAUUCCACUCGUGCAAGAAACUAAAAAGCCUGUGAAUGAGGAAGAAGCUCAAGAAUUCUUGAAAUUUAUUAAGCACAACGAAUAUAGUGUGGUGGAACAAUUGAGCAAGCAGCCAGCACGAAUCUCAGUUCUAUCUCUACUAUUAAAUUCAGAGCCACACCGGAACGCUAUAUUGAAGGUGUUAAAUCAAGCUUAUGUGGCCAACAACACAUCUGUCGAAAAGCUUGAUAGGUGGGUAAACAAUCUGAAUGCGGACAACUUCAUCUCUUUUAGUGAUGAUGAGAUACCGCCAAAUGGUAGAGGCUCGGUGAAAGUGCUGCAUAUCACAACCCGCUGCAAGGGCUACAUAAUACCGAACGUACUCAUCGAUAAUGGGUCAGCGAUAAAUGUUAUGCCAUUGGCUACACUUCCAGAAUACCGAUGGAUUUGUCCUACUUAAAGCCCUGUCAUUCCAUGGUAAGAGCAUUCGACGGGACGAAGCGCGAAGUCAUGGGAAAGAUCGAAAUCCCUUUGGAAGUUGGCCCCUACAUCUAUGCGGUCGAAUUCCAAGUCAUGGACAUUACACCCUCUUAUAACUGUCUUUUGGGAAGACCUUGGAUUCAUUCUGCUGGAGCAGUCCCAUCAUCCCUCCAUCAAAAGGUGAAAUUCAUCAUGGAUGGCUGUUUGGUCACAGUCGAGGGCGAAGAAGACAUCGUCGCAUCUAUCUCUGCUGAUGCGCCAUACCUGGAAGUAAGCAAGGACGCAGUGGAAUGUUCCUUUCGAUCCCUUGAAUUCAUCAAUGACACUUUCGUCGCUGAGGGAAAUAGAAUUCCGAUGCCAAAACUGUCGAGAAAUACCAGAAUGGGUGUCAAGUUGACCGUAGGAAGGGGAGCUCGUGCGAGAAGAGGUUUAGGGAGACAUCUGCAAGGAAUAGUGAGGGCUUUAAAGCUAGUGCACCACAAGGCUCGAUACGGUUUGGGGUUCCAGCCUGACAUGCACCAAAGAAGAAGACAGUGGAAGAAGGAUCAAGAGAGAAGAAUUACAAGAACUUUAGGCCGAGAACCAGAAUGGGAACCAAUAGAGUACCCUCCUUUGUCAAAAACAUUUAUAUCUGCGGGAAUGAUGUACCCUAGACAAGAUGAUCCACGAAACAUGCUGGGAUUAAUUGAAAGGGAUUUUCAGAAUGUCAGUAUAAAUGUCAUUGACAAAGAAGCUAGUGCAAGUAAAGAUGUAUCGAGGAUACGCCUUUGCCCUCCUGGUUUCAUGUUGAACAAUUGGAUUGCUGAGGAGCUUCUUGUAGUUUAUAAGCCUUCAGAGUAAUGCUAAACAUCAACCUUCUAUUGUGUCCUUAGAUAUAAUAGAAUUCUUUUGUAAGAGUUUGCAUUCACUCUUUAUCAUUUAAAUGAAUAUCAAUGAAGAUGCAUUUUGUCACGAUUUUUCGUAUUAUCACUAAUCUCAUAAUCAUUUUCUCAUUUCAUAGCCUAUCCUUACAUUUGCCUCCUUGCCAUGACAUAACAUUUGUUUGUUGUUUCCAAUACUUGGAUGUCCCCCUAUAGCUUCCUUUUCCAUUCAACUUUCAGGUGCUCAGAUAUUGACGACAUGAAUAAGCCCGUUACGAAUCUUGAAAUUGAUUUUGAGAAGGCUGUUUGCUUAGGAGAAUUUGAAGCCGAAGAAAAUGCUGAAGAUUAUGUCUCGUCUCCUGAAUUGUUAAGAAUGGUGGAACAAGAGGAUAAACAGGUUUUGCCUCAUGAAGAAUCUGUGGAAACAAUAAAUUUGGGCACUGAAGAGAGGAAACAAGAAGUGAAGAUUGGGACUUCUAUUUCAGAAAGUACCAGGCAUAGUUUGAUCACUUUACUCCGCGAAUACAAAGAUGUUUUCGCGUGGUCAUACCAGGACAUGCCAGGGCUAGAUGAAGAUUUAGUGGUCCAUAAGCUCCCAUUGAAGCCAGAAUACAAGCCCAUCCAGCAAAAAUUAAGACGGAUGAGACCCGAAAUGCUGUUGAAAAUAAAAGAGGAAGUCAAGAAGCAAUUUGAUGCUGGCUUCCUACAAGCCUCCAAAUAUCCAGAAUGGGUGGCUAACAUAGUCCCGGUACCAAAGAAAGAUGGAAAAGUACGAAUGUGCGUGGAUUACCGUGACCUGAAUCGAGCACGCCCAAAAGAUAAUUUUCCCUUGCCACAUAUUGACACGUUGGUGGACAACACAGCAAAACAUUCAUUGUUUUCUUUUAUGGAUGGAUUCUCGGGGUAUAAUUAGAUCAAGAUGGCCCUUGAGGAUAUAGAGAAAACUACCUUCAUAACAAUGUGGGGAACGUUCUGCUAUAAGGUGAUGCCAUUCGGGUUAAAGAAUGCUGGGGCAACAUAUCAGAGGGCUAUGGUGACAAUAUUCCAUGACAUGAUGCAUAAGGAAAUAGAGGUCUACGUCGAUGAUAUGAUUGCUAAAUCUCGAGGAGAAGAAGAACAUGUAAUGAACCUCAAGAAGUUGUUCGAAAGGAUUAGAAAGUUUCAGCUGAAGCUUAAUCCAGCCAAAUGUAUAUUCGGGGCUACCUCGGGAAAAUUGCUAGGCUUCAUUGUCAGUGAAAGAGGUAUCGAAGUUGAUCCAGAUAAAAUAAAAGCCAUCCAAGAAUUACCACCUCCGCGCACGCAAAAGGAAGUUAGAGGAUUUUUAGGGAGAUUAAAUUACAUCGCCCGAUUUAUCGCUCAACUUACCAACCAAUGCGACCCAAUUUUUCGACUCCUUCGAAAACAUAACCCGGGAGAAUGGAAUGAGGAGUGCCAAGUGGCCUUCGAUAAGAUAAAACGGUAUCUGUCUAAUCCUCCUGUGCUAGUACCACCGACCCCUGGAAAACCCUUAAUUUUGUACCUGACCGUGUUUGAAAACUCAAUGGGUUGCGUGCUGGGGCAACAUGAUGAGUCAGGGAGAAAAGAAAAGGCGAUCUACUACCUCAGCAAAAAGUUCACUGAAUAUGAGGCAAAAUAUUCGUCCAUUAAGAAAUAUUGUUGCGCUCUGGUUUGGGUAGCUCGGAGACUCAGACAAUAUAUGUUGUAUCACACGACAUGGCUAAUUUCAAAGCUGGACCCAAUAAAAUACAUGAUGGAAUCGCCGGCACUAUCAGGAAGAAUGGCACGAUGGCAGAUCCUCCUUUCGGAAUAUGACAUUGCCUAUGUAAGUCAGAAGUCAAUAAAAGGGAGCGCAGUAGCUGACUUCUUAGCAACUCGAACGACAGAGGAAUAUGAGCCUUUAAGAUUCGAUUUCCCAGACGAAGACUUAAUGUGCAUCAUAGAAAUAGAAUCCGAGUCAUCAAAAGAGAAGUCAUGGAAGAUGUGCUUUGAUGGUGCGUCAAAUGCUUUAGGGCAUGGAAUUGGAGCAAUCCUGGUAUCACCAGACGGGAAUCAUUAUCCGUUCACUGCAAGACUGAACUUCUUCUGUACCAAUAAUAUCGCAGAAUAUGAGGCCUGUAUCAUGGGACUUCGUGCAGCUAUCGAACGAAACAUCGAGAUCUUGGAGGUGUACGGGGACUCAGCCCUAGUGAUUUACCAAAUCCGUGGAGAAUGGGAAGUGAGGGACUCAAAAUUGAUUAAGUACAGUGAUUUAGUGGCUUGAUUGAUCAAGGAAUUCAAAGAAAUAACUUUUCAUUACUUCCCACGAGAAGAGAACCAACUGGCUGAUGCCCUAGCCACUUUGGCUUCAAUGUUCAAAGCAAGUAGAGAAGCAGAAAUAAUGCCCCUCAAAAUGAGCAUAUACGAGGUCCCUGCACACUGUUGUAGCAUUGAGAAAGAAGUAGACGGACGGCCUUGGUUCCAUGAUAUCUUAGAAUAUAUCAAGAAUCAAAGGUAUCCCGAACAAGCGAAUGAGAACGAUAAAAGAACAAUUAGAAGAAUGGCAGCGGGAUUUGUUCUUGAUGGGGAUAUCCUGUAUAAAAGAGGAAAUGAUCAGAUGCUUUUGAGAUGUGUGGAUGAUGUUGAAACCAGAAAAAUACUUGAAGAGGUCCAUGAGGGAAUUUGCGGAACGCAUGCCAAUGGUUUCAAUAUGGCCAGAAAGAUCAUGAGACUCGGUUAUUAUUGGCUGACAAUGGAAAGUGACUGCAUCAAUUUUGCCAGAAAAUGCCACAAAUGUCAAAUCUACGGCGAUAAAAUUCAUGUAGCCCCUUCACCCCUUCAUGUCAUGACUUCUCCGUGGCCUUUUUCUAUGUGGGGCAUGGAUGUCAUAGGGCCAAUUUCUCCAAAAGCUUCAAAUGGACAUCGAUUCAUUUUUGUAGUUAUUGAUUACUUCACAAAAUGGAUUGAAGCCGCUUCGUUUGCCAAUGUGACGAAGACUGCAGUGUGCAAGUUUUUGAAAAAAGAAAUCAUUUGCCGAUAUGGUUUCCCUGAAAGAAUCAUCUCAGAUAAUGCCACGAAUCUGAACAAUAAGAUGAUGAAAGAAGUGUGCGAGCAGUUCCAAAUAAAGCAUCAUAAUUCCUCGCCCUAUCGCCCAAAGAUGAACGGGGCUGUUGAAGCAGCUAACAAGAACAUUAAGAGGAUCAUUGGGAAAAUGACUGAGACAUAUAAAGAUUGGCACGAGAAACUUCCAUUUGCUUUGUUUGCAUAUCGUACAUCUGUGCGAACAUCUACGGGAGCAACUCCUUUCUCUCUAGUCUAUGGAAUGGAAGCUGUGCUACCUAUCGAGGUUGAGAUCCCCUCUCUGCGAGUAUUGAUGGAAUCAAAGUUUGAAGAAGCAGAAUGGGUUCGAGCUCGAUAUGAUCAGUUGAACCUCAUUGAAGAAAAACGUCUAAGGGCAAUUUGUCAUGGGCAAAUGUACCAAAAAAGAAUGAUCGCAGCCCAUGACAAGAAGGUACGACCAAGAGAGUUCCAUGAAGGAGAACUCGUUCUGAGAAAGAUUCUCCCAAUACAAAAAGACCUGCGAGGAAAAUGGGCACCAAAUUGGGAAGGACCAUACGUUGUAAAAAAGGCAUUCUCGGGAGGAGCUUUAAUCCUUACCGAGAUGGACGGAAAGGAGUUACCGAAUCCGGUGAAUUCAGAUGCGGUGAAGAAAUAUUAUGCUUAAGAUGAAAACCCGAAAAUGGCAUCUAAAAAAAAAGGGCGAAAACCCGAAAAGGGCGUCUUGAUUAGUACAAAAAGAUUAGGAUGAAAACCCGAGAGGGCGUCCUAAUGAAACAAACCUGGCGGUCGAACGAUAGGUCGAGUAGUGAGACUACAGUAUUUGAAGCACUUCUGAAAGCUCAAAAUUUUCUAUGCAAGAAGCCAUGCUCGAAAAGAUUAUUGAUUGAGGAACGUGGAAGAGUUCAUGUGUUGAAUAUCUAGAGCAUUUGUAUCCGUUGAAUACGACCUUUUCUUUCUUUUUGACAUUUUUACUCUCAUUGGUUAACUUUCUUUGUUUGCCGCAUUUGAAAUAAAGGAAUAUGAGAUAUCCUUUUUGUCCCUACCUGACCAUUUUCAUGCAUCUCAUUAUGUGUUUAUUUAAUGAUAAAUAGUGAAAUGACAUACUCUAAACAAAAGAAAUGUCAAGCAUUACCCGGAUAAGAAUUUGAUAAGUGCAAGAUCUUCAAAGCAAGAACAAAGUUUAACCAAGGGCAAAAGGGUGAUAUCUGAGAAACGUUGAUUACUCGUAAAGCUCGAAGACAGGUAUGAGGCCUGAAGAGAAGGUCGAGAAUCAAAACAAUGAACACAGAUCCUCAACAAUCAUGGCGAAAAGGACAUACGACCUAUAUGCUUAAGGAGCACUGCAUAAUCAUGUAGGCAUAAAGGCAUUUAAGACAAACAUGUGCAUAUCAUGAUAACAUCAUGCAUAGCAUAUACAGGUAAUCCAGAAAAGCCAGAAAUCUUGAAUGAGAGUCGCACUGAAUCAAAGGAAAAGAUACCCGAGUUCUACCAAAGGACUGGUUUUGGUAUUUUGAUGUUUUUAAUUCAUGCUUUCCAAGGAAAAUUGACUCAUAUUGCGAGAGGUGAGUCAAGCCUCAGGUCACGCUGAGGUAUUUUAAUUCCUUUUGUUUCAAAAAUCAACUCAUAUUGCUAGAGGUGAGUUGAGCCUCGGGGCACGCCGAGGUACUUUUAGUUUAUGUUUUAAAUUGACUCAUAUUGCGAGAAGUGAGUUAAGCCUUUUAAUUCCUGUUUUUCAAAAAAUCAACUCAUAUUGCGAGAGGUGAGUUGAACCUUUUAAUUUCUGUUUUUCAAAAAUCAACUCAUAAUACAGAGGUGAGUUGAGCCUCGGGCCACAUGCCGAGGUAUUUUCAAAAUCUGUUUGGCAAAUUCUGUGUUCAAAAAUCAACUCAUAAUACAGAGGUGAGUUGAGCCUCGGGUCAUGCCGAGGUAUUUCUUUUAAAUUUUUGUUUUCAAAAAAUCAACUCAUAUUGCGAGAGGUGAGUUGAGCCUCAGGACACGCUGAGGUAAUUUCAAUUUUUUUUUUCCAAAUUUCAACUCAUGUUGCGAGAAAUGGGUUGAGCCUCAGGACACGCUGAGGUAAUUUCAAUUUUUGUUUUUCAAAAUCAACUCAUAUUGCGAGAGGUGAGUUGAGCCUCAGGACACGCUGAGGUAAUUUUAAUUUAUGUUUUUCAAAAAUCAACUCAUAUUGCGAGAGGUGAGUUGAGCCUCGGGGCACGCCGAGGUAUUUUCAAAUUCUACUUUCAAAAAAUCAACUCAUAUUGCGAGAGGUGGGUUGAACCUUUUAAUUUCUACUUUUUCAAGAUCAGCUCAUAUUUCUAGAGGUGAGUUGAGCCUCGGGGCACGCUGAGGUAUUUUCAAUUUUUUGUGUGUUUUAAUUUCAACUCAUAUUGCGAGAGGUGAGUUGAGCCUUGGGUCACAUGCCGAGGUAUUUUCAAAAUCUGUUUGGCAAAUUCUGUGUUCAAAAAUCAACUCAUAUUGCGAGAGGUGGGUUGAACCUUUUAAUUUCUACUUUUUUGAAAUCAACUUAUAUUGCGAGAGGUGAGUUGAGCCUCAGAACACGCUGAGGUAAUUUCAAUUUCUGUUGUCAAAAAAAAAAUCAACUCAUAUUGCGAAAAGUGAGUUGAGCCUUUGCCACAUGCGGAGAUAUUUUCAGUUUUUGUUUUUAAUGUCUGUUUUUAAAGAGUCAAUUCAUAUUGCGAGAAAUGAGUCGAACUCAGGAUCACAUGCCGAGUAAGAAUAAAGAUUGAAGCUGAUGAAAAACACCAGAGUUGGUCUCCCUGAAGCUGCAGUGGAGCCUGUCAAAAGUUACAAGUCUUGUCUCCCUGAGGUCGCAGUAGAACUGAUCGAGGAUAUCAAAUCUUGUCUCGCUAGAGUUACAAAAGAGAAGAUCACGAAUCUCAUCUCACUGAAGUGAUAAAAGAACAGAUUGAAGCUUAGAUCUUAUCUUUAUGAAGCUACGUGGAAGCAGAUCAAAGCCACAAAUCACAUAUCUUUGAAGUCACAUUGGAGUAGAUUUAAACUACAAGGCAUAUAUCAGAAGAUGCAGUGGAUUGGAAGAAGACCAUCUGAACAAGAAGAGCACCAAUGAAGUCAAGACUCGGCAGGACAGGGCAAAAUUGGCCUUUCACUUAGUCUUUGCUCUAUUCCCGUUACACGACAAUGAGCAAAGAGGGGCAGCUGUACUAGGCCAAUUUCGGCCCAAUCUCAUUUACAAAUUAAAACUCCAUUUACAAAACACUAAACCCCUUAAAACCCAAACCCAUUCACACUUUUACAAACCCAAAUACUAUUAACCCAAUACCCUAAACUAACCUGCCCUAAUCCAAAAACCCCUAACCCAAUAAGCCCAUUAAACAAAACAAGCCCAAACCAAUACCAAAUCCCUAGCCCAAGACCAGAAUCGGGAAACCCUAGCAGCUCCCCAAGCCUCCAGCCGCUGCACGCUAGGCCAACCAUGGGCCACCUUGCGCACUACCACCACCACACCCCGCGCAUGCCCUUCUCCUCCAUGCGUCUGACACCGCCUGCAAAAUGAGACACAACAACAGCAGCAACAGAGCAGUAGCGAAUGGAAGAAACAAUAUUUUUUGUACUCUGCUUUGAAACAUUCGGCUAUAAAGCCUAAAGGGAAAAUUUGUAAAGGAAGGAAGGGGGGCAUAUUUUUACGAACGAAUACACAAUAGGCAAUACAAAAAAAGCAAUAUUGGAAGGUGAUUUCUCCGAUCGAAAUCUCUGGGCUUUCUCUUUGUGAUUAUUUUUUUUUAUUUCGAGAGUAAAUAAAAGAAAAGGGGAACACGAACACAGACGCACACAGAAUAUACACGCACAGAAAUAUAUAAAAAAACAAUUAAGAAUUUGCAAGGGUAAUCUCAAGUUUUCUUUCGUUCUUUCUUUUUUUUUUCUUUUUUGUUUGGUUUAGAUCGUCUUUUAGUAGGUAAAUCGACUCCAAUGAGAUCCCGAAUACUUUAAGAUACAAAAGUAGGGGAGAGGGGUCAAGUGGUGUUGAAUCUCUAUUUUAUGAACUUUCUUCGUUUUUUUUAAAAAUGUAUGAGAUUUGAAGUUUUAUUUUUUCUCAAGUAAAAAAGAAAAUACUUACUAAUUUCCUCAAGGCAUGGUCGAAUACUUAC
rnacentral:lncRNA from 1 species